UCCCAACAGAGAUGUAUUGAUGAGGUUAGUCAAGAGAUAAUCAUCAAGAAUAACAGGAGACUAACAGCAGGAUCUGAGAGAUCCCAGCAGGAAGCCUAAAAGCCAUUUUAACGGUUGCUGUGUGUACAACAAGGAGAAAUAGGACAGCGCUACAAUGCAAGGGAACAAUUGGAAGAGACAGUCAGGAAUGACGGCUUUCAGGUGCCAAGCCCUCUUUCUUCAUAACAUUAUAUUCUGCCCUACAUCUUUUAUUGAAAACAAGCUAUUCUGGAAAAUACAAAGAGAAGAUUUCAAAUUACACCUUUGUCAAGCUAGAUUGCUUUGAACCAAUAUCUACCAUUCUUCAGCCCAAAGGAUCCGGAAGCAGGUUUAAGUUAGUAUAUUUAAUGGACUGCAAACCUUGUUUGGCUCAGGGAUGACCUAUUCUAGUGAAAUUAUUUUAUAAUAAAGAAUUAAAUGAACAAUUAAAA